UUCCAGACUCCUACGGGAGGCAGCAGUGGGGAAUAUUGCACAAUGGGGGAAACCCUGAUGCAGCGACGCCGCGUGAGUGAAGAAGUAUUUCGGUAUGUAAAGCUCUAUCAGCAGGGAAGAUAAUGACGGUACCUGAGUAAGAAGCCCCGGCUAACUACGUGCCAGCAGCCGCGGUAAUACGUAGGGGGCAAGCGUUAUCCGGAUUUACUGGGUGUAAAGGGAGCGUAGACGGCAUGGCAAGUCUGAAGUGAAAGCCCGGGGCUCAACCGCGGGACUGCUUUGGAAACUGUUAAGCUGGAGUGCAGGAGAGGUAAGUGGAAUUCCUAGUGUAGCGGUGAAAUGCGUAGAUAUUAGGAGGAACACCAGUGGCGAAGGCGGCCUGCUGGACGAUGACUGACGUUGAGGCUCGAAAGCGUGGGGAGCAAACAGGAUUAGAUACCCGCGUAU
rnacentral:rRNA from 1 species